CUUUUUAGGGCCACACCUGUGGCAUAAGGAUGUUCCAGGCUAGGGGUCGAAUUGGAGCUCUAGCCACCAGCCUACACCAGAGGCAUAGCAACACUGGAUCCAAGCUGCGUCUGUGACCUACACCAGAGCUCACAGCAUCACUGGAUCCUUAACCCACUGAGCAAGGCCAGGGAUUGAACCCUCAACCUCAUGGUUCCUAGUCGGAUUUGCUUCCGCUGCUCUACUACAGGAACUCCUGUGUUUGCUUUCUUAAGUUUCCCAAUUAAAGCAGCUCCAGAAUACUUAUAGUUUUAUAUUAAGAAGUCCAUUUAGGCUAGUGGUAUUAUUUAACAAAAAUAUUAAAUAACAUGUUACUUUUAUUAUUAUUUAUAACUAUAGGCAUAAAAUACAAGUCAUUUAUUGAACGGAUAGAUGAAAAGAUGCAUAAAAAUAAUGGGCAGAAUGGUCAAAAUAAGAUUACUGAUGAACAUGAAGUUUCCUGAUAAAAACAAACAAACAGAAAAAAAAAAAAAAAUGAGAUGGAAACAAAAAUCCAAGGCCUGUUCUGAAAAUGCCAUGUAGUUCAGUUUACUUAGAAAAUAGGUUGUAGUGGAACAAAGGAAGUUUGGAAAGAGGGGCAGGAAAAAAUGCAAAUAAAAUUUGGUAAAAGUUGCAGAGUCACUGAAUAUACAAUUUUACAUGACAAUAAUUCUUUUUUUUUUUUUUUUUAAAGGGCUACACCUGAGACAUGGCAUUUGGUGAUCAUCUCCCAAAACUGCACUUGUCUGCAGCACAGACUCUAGAACUGCCUGCCCUGUUUACACACUCUCCUGGUUUUAUCAACUAUACCCUCCAUGACUUGAAACAAAUUGCUUCAUUUUAAAGGAAUUAAAAAAAAUUCCUCAGUUUUGUUAUCUCUGAAAUUAGAAUAACAAUUAUAAUAUUUUCCUCAUAAGGCUGUCUCAGGAUUUCAUUAUUACAGUAUCUGAUACAUUCACUCAACAAAUAUUAAUUGAUUGCCUAUUAUGUGGUAGACACACAAUUUUCUUUUCUUUUUUGUCUUUUGUCCAUUUUUAGAGCUGCACCCAUGGUAGAUGGUGGUUCCCAGACUAGGGGUCUAAUUGGAGCUGUUGCUGCCAGCCUACACCAGAGCCAUAGCAACGCCAAAUCCGAGCCACAUCUGUGACCUACACCACAGCUCAUGGCAAUGCCAGAUCCUUAAUCCACCAAGCAAGGCCAGGGAUCGAACCCGCAACCUCAUGGUUCCUAGAUGGAUUCAUUUGCACUGCUCCAUGACAGGAACUCCUAGACACAAUUUUGAAUGCUAGAGAUAUAAAAUUAAACAGGGAAAAUCUCUGCUUUCACAGACUCUAGUGAAUGUAAUUGUUAAAGAAAUAUUGGUUGAGAUUAUUAAUAAUGAUUAUUUAAGAUUUAGCUUAAACGUCCUUUCUUCCCAGAAACCUGACCAUACUUCUGUCUGAUCCAUUAAAGUGACACUCUCACCUUCUGUCUUCACACCCACUGUUUUAAAACCCAAGGCUUUUCAUUGCAAGUGAUUAUAACCUCCUCUGAUCCUUUUGGGCAAGACAGACCCUGGUUUAUUUAUCCUUUCCUUGCCAGCUCCUAGCAGAAUAUAUAGCCCACAGUUGGAGCACAAAAAGUAUUUGCAGAACAAUGGUACAUGACAUUUCAGAAUCAUCUCGACAGAAUCAACACAAACCUAUUCCAAACCAUCUGUACUUUAAACUUCCUGUUUUAAUACUGCAGUCCAGCUUUUUGUCCUAAAUGAUUCUUUAGACUUAAUGACACUUGAAAAAUUACCUUAACAUCUGCCGCUAUAGGCUCAACAUUGAGGACACUUGCUGCAUGUUGAAGAUGCAGCAAAUGACAUGCCACCCUAAAAUAGGAAUCUCAGUUUUAAAUACCUCAGACAUAUAUGCAUACAUACAUAUCUUUUGCUUGUCACAUUCACUGCCGUAUCCCCAGACCAAUACCUGGCAUACAGUAGGUAUUCAAUAACAAUUUGUGGAAGAAAAGAAGAAAGGAUAGGAGGAGCAAUAUAAAUGUCUAGUUUGUUUUAUUAAGAUAACCUGUGUUCUUCCAAGUACAGCUAAACCUAAUCUAAAUACAUAUAUGUUUAUAAAUGUAUUUAUAUAUAAUAAAUGUUAUAAAUACACUUCAUAUGCUAAAAAGAGAUAUGGUAUGGAUUUUAUUAUACAUAAUAUAUAUUUUUAUAUUUAAAUAUGACUUGUCCUGUUUUGGCUUUUAUUUAGAAUAAUAUUAGUAUUUCUUCUUAAAUUUAAAGAUGUACUCAUUUUGCUAGAGACUCUCAUACUAAGUGAAGUAAGUCAGAAAGAAAAAGACAAAUACCACAUGAUAUCACUUAUAUCUGGAAUCUAAUAUAUGGCACAAAUGAACUUUUCCACAGAAAAGAAAAUCAUGGACAUGGAGAACAGGCUUGUGGUUGCCAAAGGGGAGGGGUAGGGAGUGGGAUGGCCUGGGAAUUUGCGGUUAAUAGAUGCAGACUAUUGCCUUUGGAAUGGAUAAGCAAUGGGAUCCUGCUGUAUAGCACCAGGAACUAUGUCAUGUCACUUGUGAUGGAGCAUGAUAAUGUGAUAAAAAUGAGUGUAUACGUAUGUGUGCCUGGGUCACCUUGCUGUGCAGUAGGAAAUUGACAGAACACUGUAAACCACCUACAAUGGAAAAAAAAUAAAAAAUCAUUAUUAAAAAAAAAAAGAUGUACCCAUUUUGGAUUGAAAACCAAGGGUGAAAUAAAGUUUAUUUCAUUAAAACAUCAGAGUAGUGGGAAUAAGAUUGUUCAGUCUCCAGUUAAACUCUCACACAUUUAGCACACAGUGGCUUUAUUCUGUUGUCUGUGAAAACUGACAUAUCGUUAUGUCACACAGCUACAAACCUAUAGACACAGAAAAAUAAGCAGUCACAUUGCAAAAGUCAUAUGCUGAUUAACAUAUGUUAAUAACCUAAAUCUCUUCCCCUGAAUUAAGCUCUUCCUCUCUCUACACAGACAAAUUGACCCAAAUAUUUAGGUCAAAAUCUAUGUAAGGGAGAAUAAGCUGAAUGAAAACGACAUUUCAAGGGAGAGGAAAAGGUAAAAUAUUGUACUGAGUGGACUAUGAAUGACUUUAAGGGUCAUAGAUGGGCACCUGGCUUUAAGAAUCAUGUAUUUAUGCAAAUUCUAAUUUUGUGCAUAACCAAACACUUCACUUGCCUGUGGGUUUUACUUACCAGUCAGGCAAUUCUUAGAUGUCAAAAAGCUGAGCCAGGGCUCUCUACCUCAAACACUUGUAGGGGUGGGGUAGGUAAGGUAAUUUACUAUUCAGUAACUAUUCACAAUUUGAUUGUGUCAGGGCUAGACAGCUUCAACCAGCUGUCACCAUCCCAAGUAUGGGUCCACUUUGCUAUGCAUGCAGACAUUUUGAGAGAAUAGGGAAAACUUCUUUUAUACAUGAAAUCUUGUAUUUUUUUUUUAAAUUGCAAUUAAUUUAAUUUUUCAAUAAAGAGAAACAGACUUUGCACACUAAAUAAUGAAGACCUGGAGUUUGGCUUCUAGUCUGGACUAUAAGGGGAUGGGAUGUGCAGACAUACCUGACACACGAACAACAAAAUUUGGGUUUCAAUUUUCAAGGCUUAACAGGCUUCUGUUCUGAUAGAUAAGUCUUACAGUUUAAAUUUGUUUAUUUCCAUGAUUUUCUCCUCUGAAAGCACCUCAUGACAACAGCAGAGUAUUAAAGGGUUGGCUCAGAAGGUCUAGAUUGCUGACUAUGAACAUAUACCCAGUAAGCCAAUUAUCUUGUUGUCUCUAAAGGAUGCACUAAAGUAAUUGCUGAGUAUAAAUAACAAACUACAAAGCCAAACCAGAAACAUGUGAACAGAUCCCUAUGUGUAAUGUACACCCAGGGACAGUUUUUGUAACAACUACAAGAAAACUACUUGAAAAAAAUUUUAUUUCAGUGUAACUCAUUCACCCCAGUUGAAAUGACUAUGAGGUUGGCAGAGAAAGCAUUUCUGUGCCCUUGAUUAACAUGGCAGAUGUAUUUCUAAUCUGCCCACUGUAAACAAAACCUCCACUCUCUCCCUGAGCUUUAUCAGGGAUGCUCUUCUGUGUCGCUGCCUGGCCUGUCUCGUCACAUGCUCUGACAUCUGCCAGUUCUGCGGCAGACACUGCCACUGUGAAGUCUAAGUUUAAACUGCUCCAUCCUCUGGGAAUAUCCUGAACGGAAAUUUCUCUGACACUCAGAAAAUUCAAAGUGUCGAAGUGAAACCUUACAUAGAGUUCAUAAAAUAAAGUAGCCUGCUUCUAAGGUCACUUAUUCUCAUUUACUGCGAAUCAGCAGAAAUUUAUCCAGAUUAUUCCAAAAGAAUCGGGGGUGCUUUUUAAAAUUAUGAAUGACCUGUGACCACCAUGAAGCCAUCUGAACUUUUGGCAGUUUCUGCAAGCCAGAUAUGUCAGAUAAUUUGUGUAUCUCCUUUUCUCACCAUAUAUUAAAGGAAAAAAAUCAAUUUUUAUACACUCUUGGAAGGAAUGUUGACAAGUACCAUGCACUAGUGAAAACACACACAAAGUUUUUAAAUUCCAAAAUAAAUUGCUGAAAAUGAAAAAAACACGAUGAUAAACUCAAGCUUUUGACCAGUAUAAAAAGCGUCAAUACAUUCAUUAAAGUGAACAAUAAUCUGUCUUGAUUUAUGAGUGCCAUUUGGAGGUUGGGUAUAUUUGCUAAGUAGUCAUUAAUAAAUAAAUUAUCUAUUCAUCCAAUGCAUAGUGGUCUACAGCAGGGAAGAGUUGAAUAAGCAAAGCCCUGUGUCCCACUUCUACGACAGAACAUCUAAUUCCUAGGAGGAAUAAGAACAAUACAUGUUAACGUAGGAUUUGUAAUUCUUGGACAUGCUCUCUCUCUCUCCUCCUUUCCUCCCUCUCCCCACUUCUCAUCAUUUUCUAAUUUUUUUUAUUUGCUUACAAACUCAAAUUCUGCUUCUUUAUAUGAUCCUCAGUUUAAGAUGAUACCAAAUUUUGCUUAUCCUCAAAACAAAAUUCUUCAUAUUCCUUCAUGGUAACACAUUUUCACUCUCCUUUCCUUUAGCCUGAACUGUAUUGAAAGAAUCAUCUGUAUUUCCUCAACUCUCCAACACCUUCUAAACCCCAAGGACAAGCUAGAACCACACUCGAAGGCCUCAAGGAAGAUAUGUAUUAGAUUCACUGGCCUUUCCAGUCAUGUAGCAUUAGUUCAUAGCACUGCUUGCCUUAAAAACUCCUUCUUUCCUUGAUCUCUUCCUACCUCUCUGCCUCUUCCUUGGCUUUUCCACCUCUUUUGUCUAAUGUGGACAUUCUCAUUAUAUCAGUAUAUUCCUCAUUCAUUGAUAUUAUCAUUAAUUAGUAUUCUUGAAUCAUCUUAAAACCCUUCAUUCAUUAGUGUUCUCUUCUUUCACCUUUAAUAGGUUCAACAAUCACAGAAGAUUAUUGAGUUGUUAAAACUCUAGAUAUAUUCUGGAUAUCUCUGGACUACUGGCAUAACACAGCAUUGUACGGGAGGGUAGAUUCUCCAGCUUGAUUUUAAACUAGGUUUAAAUUCCAGCUUUAGCGCUUAUUAGUAGUGAGACAGAGGGCUAAACAACCUCUCUAUGGUUUACUUUUCUCACAUGCAAAAUAAUCAUAGUGUCUACCUUGUUGGCGUGAGAAUGAAGUCAGUAUAGAUAAAAUGGUUGGGAUAAUACUAAAGAUACCAUAAACACUGAAUAUCUACAUUCUUGUUAUGUUUUACCCUUCUUUCCAAAGUUGGUCUUUCCCCUAACUUUUGAUUUCCUAUAGACUAAUUUAUUCUGCCUUUUUCUGGCUCAGCUCAGUGACCAACAUUUUCAUGCACAUUAAUUUACUUUCUUGCUUGAAAACUUCCAAUGGGU
rnacentral:lncRNA from 1 species